rnacentral:misc_RNA from 1 species
GAUGAAGAACGCAGCGAAAUGCGAUAAGUAAUGCGAAUUGCAGAAUUCCAGUGAGUCAUCGAAUCUUUGAACGCACAUUGCGCCCCUCGGCAUUCCGGGGGGCAUGCCUGUCCGAGCGUCAUUGCACCCCUCGAGCCCGUCCGGGCUCGGUCUUGGGCCCCCGUCCCCCCCGCGCGUGCGGGGGGGACGGGCCCGAAUCGCAGUGGCGGCCCCGGGGCGACUUCCCGCGCAAUCGCAUUGUCUCGCGGUGGAGGCGUUUCGCCCCCGCGGGCCCGCCAGGCAACCCCCCGAUCGUUCGGACGUACGGUUGACCUCGGAUCAGGCAGGGAUACCCGCUGAACUUAAGCAUAUCAAUAAGCGGAGGA